rnacentral:rRNA from 1 species
GACGAACGCUGGCGGCGUGCCUAACACAUGCAAGUCGAACGGGGUGAUUCCUUCGGGGAUCACUUAGUGGCGAACGGGUGAGUAACGCGUGAGAAACCUGCCUUUCAGUGGGGGACAACAGUUGGAAACGACUGCUAAUACCGCAUAAUGUUUCGAGAGGGCAUCCUUUUGAAACCAAAGCUUUAUGUGCUGAAAGAUGGUCUCGCGUCUGAUUAGCUAGUUGGUGAGGUAACGGCUCACCAAGGCGACGAUCGGUAGCCGGACUGAGAGGUUGAACGGCCACAUUGGGACUGAGACACGGCCCAGACUCCUACGGGAGGCAGCAGUGGGGAAUAUUGCACAAUGGGGGAAACCCUGAUGCAGCAACGCCGCGUGAGGGAAGACGGUUUUCGGAUUGUAAACCUCUGUCCUCUGUGAAGAAGAAAGUGACGGUAGCAGAGGAGGAAGCCACGGCUAACUACGUGCCAGCAGCCGCG